UACGGAGGAUGCGAGCGUUAUCCGGAUUUAUUGGGUUUAAAGGGUGCGUAGGCUGUUUUGUAAGUCAGCGGUGAAAGACCGGGGCCCAACUCCGGAAGUGCCGUUGAUACUGCAUUGCUAGAGUUCCCCUGCCGUGGGAGGAAUGAGUGGUGUAGCGGUGAAAUGCAUAGAUAUCACUCAGAACACCGAUUGCGAAGGCAUCUCACGAAGAGGCAACUGACGCUGAGGCACGAAAGCGUGGGGAUCAAACAGGAUUAGAUACCCUGGUAGUCCACGCUGUAAACGAUGAUGACUAGCUGCCGGCGAUACACUGUCGGUGGCCCAGCGAAAGCGAUAAGUCAUCCACCUGGGGAGUACGACCGCAAGGUUGAAACUCAAAGGAAUUGACGGGGGCCCGCACAAGCGGAGGAACAUGUGGUUUAAUUCGAUGAUACGCGAGGAACCUUACCCGGGCUCGAACGGCAGACGACUUAUACAGAGACGUAUAUUCCCUUCGGGGCGUCUGUCGAGGUGCUGCAUGGUU
rnacentral:rRNA from 1 species